rnacentral:rRNA from 1 species
GAUGAACGCUGGCGGCGUGCCUCAAACAUGCAAGUCGAGCGGGGCUAUGUAAUAUCGCAAGGUAGAACAUAGCCUAGCGGCGAACGGGUGAGUAACACGUGGGUAACCUGCCUGGAAGACAGGGAUAACGAUUCGAAAGGGUCGCUAAUACCUGAUAAUAUCCUUUCAUCGCAUGGUGAUAGGAAGAAAGGGGAAACCCGCUUUCAGAUGGGCCCGCGUCCCAUCAGCUAGUUGGUAAGGUAAAGGCUUACCAAGGCGACGACGGGUAGCCGGUCUGAGAGGAUGUACGGCCACACUGGGACUGAGAUACGGCCCAGACUCCUACGGGAGGCAGGCAGUUGGGAAUCUUAGGCAAUGGACGAAAGUCUGACCUAGCGACGCCGCGUGAGGGAAGAAGGGCCUUCGGGUUGUAAACCUCUGUCAUGGGGGAAGAAGUAAGUGACGGUACCCAAGAGGAAGCCCCUGCUAACUACGUG